GACGAACGCUGGCGGCGUGCUUAACACAUGCAAGUCGAACGGAAAGGCCCUGCUUUUGUGGGGUGCUCGAGUGGCGAACGGGUGAGUAACACGUGAGUAACCUGCCCUUGACUUUGGGAUAACUUCAGGAAACUGGGGCUAAUACCGGAUAGGAGCUCCUGCUGCAUGGUGGGGGUUGGAAAGUUUCGGCGGUUGGGGAUGGACUCGCGGCUUAUCAGCUUGGUGGUGGGGUAGUGGCUUACCAAGGCUUUGACGGGUAGCCGGCCUGAGAGGGUGACCGGCCACAUUGGGACUGGGAUGCGGCCCAGACUCCUACGGGAGGCAGGAGUGGGGAAUAUUGCACAAUGGGCGGAAGCCUGAUGCAGCAACGCGGCGUGCGGGAUGACGGCCUUCGGGUUGUAAACCGCUUUCGCCUGUGACGAAGCGUGAGUGACGGUAAUGGGGAAAGAAGCACCGGCUAACUACGU
rnacentral:rRNA from 1 species